rnacentral:lncRNA from 1 species
UUAUUGAAUUAGUUAUUGUUCAUAUUUCAAUGGACCCCCCGGUAUAUGCUUGGAGAUGGAGGAAUGAAGCAUUAUUAUUUUAUCACUUUUAAUAAUAUGGUUCUUUCUCAUUUUUUAUAAUAUGUAGUAUCAUUUAGCACAUUCAUGUCACUUAUCAUACACCAGAAGCUCCACAACAAAUAUCUACAUUGUACAUACUAAAUAUUUAAUAAAUAAUGGAAUUGAAGUAUAAUAUGUACCCAUAAA